rnacentral:rRNA from 1 species
CCUACGGGAGGCAGCAGUGAGGCAUAUUGGUCAAUGGGCGCGAGCCUGAACCAGCCAAGUAGCGUGAAGGAUGACUGCCCUACGGGUUGUACACUUCUUUUAUAAAGGAAUAAAGUGAGGCACGUGUGCCUUUUUGUAUGUACUUUAUGAAUAAGGAUCGGCUAACUCCGUGCCAGCAGCCGCGGUAAUACGGAGGAUCCGAGCGUUAUCCGGAUUUAUUGGGUUUAAAGGGAGCGUAGAUGGGUUGUUAAGUUAGUUGUGAAAGUUUGCGGCUCAACAUUGAAAUUGCAGUUGAUACUGGCAGACUAGAGAACAGAUGAGGCAGGCGGAAUGCGUGGUGUAGCGGUGAAAUGCUUAGAUAUCACGCAGAACUCCGAUUGCGAAGGCAGCUUACUAAACUGCCACUGACAUUGAUGCUCGAAAGUGUGGGUAUCAAACAGGAUUAGAUACCCCAGUAGUC